UACGGGGGGAGCAAGCGUUGUUCGGAUUUACUGGGUGUAAAGGGCGCGUAGGCGGCGUGACAAGUCACUUGUGAAAUCUCCGGGCUUAACUCGGAGCGGCCAAGUGAUACUGUCGUGCUAGAGUGCGGAAGGGGCUACUGGAAUUCUCGGUGUAGCGGUGAAAUGCGUAGAUAUCGAGAGGAACACCUGCGGCGAAGGCGGGUAGCUGGGCCGACACUGGCGCUGAGGCGCGAAAGCUAGGGGAGCGAACGGG
rnacentral:rRNA from 1 species